UAUUGGUCAAUGGCCGAGAGGCUGAACCAGCCAAGUCGCGUGCAGGAAGACGGAUCUAUGGUUUGUAAACUUCUUUUAUAGGGGAAUAAAGUGGAGGACGUGUCCUUUUUUGCAUGUACCCUAUGAAUAAGCAUCGGCUAACUCCGUGCCAGCAGCCGCGGUAAUACGGAGGAUGCGAGCGUUAUCCGGAUUUAUUGGGUUUAAAGGGUGCGUAGGUGGUGAUUUAAGUCAGCGGUGAAAGUUUGUGGCUCAACCAUAAAAUUGCCGUUGAAACUGGGUUACUUGAGUGUGUUUGAGGUAGGCGGAAUGCGUGGUGUAGCGGUGAAAUGCAUAGAUAUCACGCAGAACUCCGAUUGCGAAGGCAGCUUACUAAACCAUAACUGACACUGAAGCACGAAAGCGUGGGGAUCAAACAGGAUUAGAUACCCUGGUAGUCCACGCAGUAAACGAUGAAUACUAGGAGUUUGCGAUACAAUGUAAGCUCUACAGCGAAAGCGUUAAGUAAUCCACCUGGGGAGUACGCCGGCAACGGUGAAACUCAAAGGAAUUGACGGGGGCCCGCACAAGCGGAGGAACAUGUGGUUUAAUUCGAUGAUACGCGAGGAACCUUACCCGGGUUUGAACGUAGUCUGACCGGAGUGGAAACACUCCUUCUAGCAAUAGCAGAUUACGAGGUGCUGCAUGGUUGUCGUCAGCUCGUGCCGUGAGGUGUCGGCUUAAGUGCCAUAACGAGCGCAACCCUUAUCACUAGUUACUAACAGGUGAAGCUGAGGACUCUGGUGAGACUGCCAGCGUAAGCUGUGAGGAAGGUGGGGAUGACGUCAAAUCAGCACGGCCCUUACAUCCGGGGCGACACACGUGUUACAAUGGCAUGGACAAAGGGCAGCUACCUGGCGACAGGAUGCUAAUCUCCAAACCAUGUCUCAGUUCGGAUCGGAGUCUGCAACUCGACUCCGUGAAGCUGGAUUCGCUAGUAAUCGCGCAUCAGCCA
rnacentral:rRNA from 1 species